rnacentral:rRNA from 1 species
AACGAACGCUGGCGGCAUGCCUAACACAUGCAAGUCGAACGAGACCUUCGGGUCUAGUGGCGCACGGGUGCGUAACGCGUGGGAACCUGCCCUUAGGUUCGGAAUAACUCAGAGAAAUUUGAGCUAAUACCGGAUAAUGUCUUCGGACCAAAGAUUUAUCGCCUUUGGAUGGGCCCGCGUAGGAUUAGCUUGUUGGUGGGGUAAUGGCCUACCAAGGCGACGAUCCUUAGCUGGUCUGAGAGGAUGAUCAGCCACACUGGGACUGAGACACGUCCCAGACUCCUACGGGAGGCAGCAGUGGGGAAUAUUGGACAAUGGGCGAAAGCCUGAUCCAGCAAUGCCGCGUGAGUGAUGAAGGCCUUAGGGUUGUAAAGCUCUUUUACCAGGGAUGAUAAUGACAGUACCUGGAGAAUAAGCUCCGGCUAACUCCGUG